CUCCUGCAAAAGAAAAUGAUUGGAGCGAGACCCGCCUUCUUUCCCCUGCGUGAGACCUAAGGGCUGGAGGAGCCACCCCCAGGCAGCACACCGACGGCGGCGGCGGCGGCGCAGCGCCCAGGAAGCAGGUCGGAUCUUUUGUCCAAAAAGGAAGCAUCGGGAUCAAGGUAAAUGAUGACACAUGUCAUUUUUUUCAGAUGCAAAAGGGCCCAAGACAAAGGGACGCGAUGUCUCCUAUUCUGUUCAACAUAGUGGUAGAUAUGCUGAAAGUUCUUAUUGGUCGGGCCAAAGAGGAUGAGCAGGUGGGUGAAUUGACACCUCAUCUUGUUGAUGGUGGAGUCACCAUACUACAAUACGCUGAUUAUACAGUUAUUUUCAUGAAACAUGAUCUAGCAAAGGCUAGAAAUAUGGAACUCGUGCUAUGGCUUUUUGAACAACUGCCGGGAGAGCGAACUGUUCUGUUUUGGACGUGCCAAGGAAGAACGGGAUAUUUAUAGACAGUUGUUCGGAUGUGAAUUGGGAUCUUUACCGUUUAGUUAUAGGCAAUUUUAAGAUGCUCCAACUAUUAAGGACCGUCCAUUAUUUCUGAUCCAAGGCUUUAAUUAUU